rnacentral:rRNA from 1 species
GACGAACGCUGGCGGCGUGCCUAAUACAUGCAAGUAGAACGCUGAAGGAGGAGCUUGCUUCUCUGGAUGAGUUGCGAACGGGUGAGUAACGCGUAGGUAACCUGCCUGGUAGCGGGGGAUAACUAUUGGAAACGAUAGCUAAUACCGCAUAAUAGUAGAUGUUGCAUGACAUUUGCUUAAAAGGUGCAAUUGCAUCACUACCAGAUGGACCUGCGUUGUAUUAGCUAGUUGGUGGGGUAACGGCUCACCAAGGCGACGAUACAUAGCCGACCUGAGAGGGUGAUCGGCCACGCUGGGACUGAGACACGGCCCAGACUCCUACGGGAGGCAGCAGUAGGGAAUCUUCGGCAAUGGACGGAAGUCUGACCGAGCAACGCCGCGUGAGUGAAGAAGGUUUUCGGAUCGUAAAGCUCUGUUGUAAGAGAAGAACGAGUGUGAGAGUGGAAAGUUCACACUGUGACGGUAUCUUACCAGAAAGGGACGGCUAACUACGUG